CCUACGGGUGGCAGCAGUGGGGGAUAUUGCACAAUGGGGGGAACCCUGAUGCAGCGACGCCGCGUGGGUGAAGGAGUGCUUCGGCAUGUAAAGCUCUAUUGGUAGGGAAGUAGCAAGACGGUACCUGACUAAGAAGCCUCGGCUAACUACGUGCCAGCAGCCGCGGUAAUACGGAGGGGGCGAGCGUUAUCCGGAUUCACUGGGUGUAAAGGGAGCGUAGACGGUCAUGCAAGCCAGGGGUGAAAGCCCGGGGCCCAACCCCGGGACUGCCGUUGGAACUGCAUGGCUGGAGUGCAGGAGGGGCAGGCGGAAUUCGUGGUGUAGCGGUGAAAUGCGUAGAUAUACGGAAGAACACCAGUGGCGAAGGCAGAUUGCUGGACAGUAACUGACGCUGAGGCGCGAAAGCGUGGGGAGCAAACAGGAUUAGAUACCCCAGUAGUC
rnacentral:rRNA from 1 species